UGGGGAAUUUUGGACAAUGGGCGCAAGCCUGAUCCAGCCAUGCCGCGUGCGGGAAGAAGGCCUUCGGGUUGUAAACCGCUUUUGUCAGGGAAGAAAUCUUCUGAGUUAAUACCUCGGGAGGAUGACGGUACCUGAAGAAUAAGCACCGGCUAACUACGUGCCAGCAGCCGCGGUAAUACGUAGGGUGCAAGCGUUAAUCGGAAUUACUGGGCGUAAAGCGUGCGCAGGCGGUUUUGUAAGACAGAGGUGAAAUCCCCGGGCUCAACCUGGGAACUGCCUUUGUGACUGCAAGGCUUGAGUGCGGCAGAGGGGGGAUGGAAUUCCGCGUGUAGCAGUGAAAUUGCGUAGAUAUGCGGAGGAACACCGAUGGCGAAGGCAAUCCCCUGGGCCUGCACUGACGCUCAUGCACGAAAGCGUGGGGAGCAAACAGGAUUAGAUA
rnacentral:rRNA from 1 species